rnacentral:lncRNA from 1 species
CCGCGCUGCUGCUAUGGCCCAGGAGCGCUCAUCUUCUGCUGCCGUGUGAGUGGCCCCUCCAAAAUCUGUGCGCUGGACAAGUCUCAGGCAUGAACUUUAAGAGCUGGGGCCUGGUGGGAGGUAUUCAGUUCACACAGGCCGGCCCUGCCCUUGUGCGUAGAUUGAUACUGUUAUACAAAGGGACUGGGAGAGAAAAAUCCCUCCGUCCCCAGUCUUCUGUGUGAUACAGUGUUACAUCCCCCCCUCCCCCCGCCCGGGGGUUUGCAGCAGAAGAUGCUGUGUGGAACCAGGGAGUGAGUCUACUGACACCAAGAACUUCCCAGCUUCUCAAGCUGCCACGGCAGCGCAGACUGGACAAGGUGCCCUCCCUGCAAGGUGGACUCUGAGCUCUCUGCGCUCUGCUGCUCUAUUCUGCUCUCCAGGCCCCACGGAGCUCUCUGCUAUACCCGUUCUUCACCGUUUCUCCGAGCUAACUUUCCCACCCUCGGAGCUAGCAUGGUCUUAGUCAUUCUUCAAAAGCCAAUUAACAGGUCGCUUCUCACUCACACCCUCCCUAAAUCUCCAUGUGUGAUCUACCAGAAUUCUUCAAAGAAGCAGAGCCCGGAAGGAACCACAGACGCCAGCCAGUCUAAAGCUAAAGGCUUGAAAAUCCGGAGACGGGUAGUGUGGAAAACAGAAGAACACAAGGCCCAGGCUAUAGUUAGACAACAUGGCACUGAUAUGGAUAGGUGGGACAAAUCAGCUAAAUUGUGACUAGCAGUGGACAAUUUGGGGCCAAGAGUCAGCACAAGUUAGCUGAUACCUAAUGUCUGGGGAAGCCCAAAGUACAGAGUGAUUUC